UUAAAUAUUUUUUUUUCUUCUCUUAAAGCUGGUGAAGUGCAGGAACCGUGGGAGGGUCAAGUUCAUGCCGGCUCCUUUCUUUUGAUUGCAGCAGAAGUAUAUGCUCACCUAUCUGUGAAAUUAGCUCGGCAGCCCUGGACAAGUGCCUCUUGCAAAAGCAGUCCCACAACUGUACCAAGUGCUUAGCUGUGCCAGUCGUUGGUCACAGGCAAAGGAACGAUGCUAUUUGGAGCGAAGCUGAGUGCUGGAGGAGUCUGAGUGGUGACCCUGAACCCCUAAGCCUUAUCCGGGGAUUUCUCAGCAUCGUAGGCCUGGUUUAUUAAGACAAAAGAAGCAACUUAGAAUUAGCAGAAGGACACAAAAUGGCUUACACAUUUGCUUUUACUUUGUCAGUAAGUAUAUUUUAUUUUUACACCUCCCGUGCCCUAAUAUUGGUAACUUUGUGUAUUAAUAUAU
rnacentral:lncRNA from 1 species